rnacentral:rRNA from 1 species
AUACGUAGGUGACAAGCGUUAUCCGGAUUUACUGGGCGUAAAGGGCGUGUAGGCGGUCUUGCAAGUCAGAAGUGAAAUUCCUGAGCUCAACUCGGGCGCUGCUUCUGAAACUGCAGGACUUGAGUGCUGGAGGGGAUAGCGGAAUUCCUAGUGGAGCGGUAAAAUGCGCAGAUAUUAGGAAGAACACCGGUGGCGAAGGCGGCUAUCUGGACGGUAACUGGCGCUGAGGCGCGAAAGCGUGGGAAGCAAACAGGAUUAGAUCCCCUGGUAUUCCACGCCGUAAACGAUGAAUACUAGGUGUAGGGGGUAUCGACUCCCUCUGUGCCGCAGUUAACACAAUAAGUAUUCCGCCUGGGGAGUUCGGCCGCAAGGUUGAAACUCAAAUGAAUUGACGGGG